AGUGAACGCUGGCGGUAGGCCUAACACAUGCAAGUCGAACGGCAGCACAGUAAGAUCUUGCUCUUACGGGUGGCGAGUGGCGGACGGGUGCGGAAUACAUCGGAAUCUACUUUUUCGUGGGGGAUAACGUAGGGAAACUUACGCUAAUACCGCAUACGACCUACGGGUGAAAGCAGGGGAUCUUCUGACCUUGCGCGAUUGAAUGAGCCGAUGUCGGAUUCGCUAGUUGGCGGGGUAAAGGCCCACCAAGGCGACGAUCCGUAGCAGGUCUGAGAGGAUGAUCAGCCACACUGGAACUGAGACACGGUCCAGACUCCUACGGGAGGCAGCAGUGGGGAAUAUUGGACAAUGGGCGCAAGCCUGAUCCAGCCAUACCGCGUGGGUGAAGAAGGCCUUCGGGUGGUAAAGCCCUUUUGUUGGGAAAGAAAAGCAGCAGGUUAAUACCCCGCUGUUCUGACGGUACCCAAAGAAUAAGCACCGGCUAACUUCGUG
rnacentral:rRNA from 1 species